UGGGGAAUAUUGCACAAUGGGCGCAAGCCUGAUGCAGCCAUGCCGCGUGUAUGAAGAAGGCCUUCGGGUUGUAAAGUACUUUCAGCGGGGAGGAAGGGAGUAAAGUUAAUACCUUUGCUCAUUGACGUUACCCGCAGAAGAAGCACCGGCUAACUCCGUGCCAGCAGCCGCGGUAAUACGGAGGGUGCAAGCGUUAAUCGGAAUUACUGGGCGUAAAGCGCACGCAGGCGGUUUGUUAAGUCAGAUGUGAAAUCCCCGGGCUCAACCUGGGAACUGCAUGUGAUACUGGCAAGCUUGAGUCUCGUAGAGGGGGGUAGAAUUCCAGGUGUAGCGGUGAAAUGCGUAGAGAUCUGGAGGAAUACCGGUGGCGAAGGCGGCCCCCUGGACGAAGACUGACGCUCAGGUGCGAAAGCGUGGGGAGCAAACAGG
rnacentral:rRNA from 1 species